rnacentral:rRNA from 1 species
GCGGGAAUUCGAUUCCUACGGGAGGCAGCAGCGAGGAAUCUUCCACAAUGGGCGCAAGCCCGAUGGAGCAACGCCGCGUGGAGGACGACGGCCUUCGGGUUGUAAACUCCUUUCGGAAGGGAUGAAACGGACAGUACCUUCAGAAGAAGCCCCGGCUAACCCUGUGCCAGCAGCCGCGGUAAUACAGGGGGGGCAAGCGUUGUCCGGAAUUACUGGGCGUACAGCGCGCGCAGGCGGUCCACGACGUGCCAUGUGACAGACGUCGGCUUAACCGACGUAGGCCAAGGUAGACGCGUGAACUGGAGGCAGAGAGAGGGAUGUGGAAUACCCGGUGGAGCGGUGAAAUGCGUAGAGAUCGGGCGGAACACCAGCGGCGAAGGCGGCAUCCUGGUCCUGUACUGACGCUGAGGCGCGAGAGCGUGGGGAGCGAACUGGAUUAGAUACCCAGGUAGUCCACGCCGUAAACGAUGUGUACCCGGCGCUGGGCAGUGAUUGCGCUGCUCGGUGCCUCAGCUUACGCAGUGAGUACACCGCCUGGGGACUACGGCCGCGAGGCUAAAACUCAAAGGAAUUGACGGAA